UUCCAACUACUAGUUUCCUUCGCCAAGUUUCUACAAGCUUAGUCUUUCUUAAGUUCUACUAAGCAUCCGGGUAGGCUGACUAGCUAACUUUGCCAUUGAAAGUUCGCUAGGCCGGACAGAUCGUCGUGUUUGAGUUACGGUCUCCUCACACUUAGGUUGGAGUUAAUUUGUGCAUAUCUUAAUUAAUUUAUGAAGAAAGUCUUGGACAAAUAAAAAGUACUCACCUAAUGUUUCCUUCUUGGGAUUUAAAACUUAGUGUUUCCCUCUUGGGAUUGAAACUUAGCUUAAAUAAUUUUAAAUUUACUUUAUUAAUCGCUAAAUCACAUUGAUCUUUUAGGUGCAUUUUUAGUUCACCAUUACCCUUGUUGUUAGGAAAAAUAUCGCUUUUGCCAUUGACCCCCCUCCCC
rnacentral:lncRNA from 1 species